UAAAAAAAAUUUGUGGACUUAGUCGCGGACUGGCUUAACAUAAAUUUGGGCUCUAGUGGUUUGACAUCGUCACAGGGUGGGAUGCGGGUCUAUAUUUGCGAUCAUGACACAUCACCUCCAGAGGACCAGCGUAUCAAG